GCUUGGGCAUGUUCUUUCCAAUGUUACUCGCGAUCCCAGACGGACGUCUGAGGAAAAUACUCAAGUAGUGCAGUGAAAGGAAAAAUUCUAACCUCGACCGUAAUUACCGCGUGUCCAUCGUGGCUGAGACCUAGUCAAAAGAUCAGCCGACCAUUCCUACGUUUAUUAAGCGAAGGCCGAACCCAUCGGGUUUGGCCGUACGUAAUACCGUACGAAAUGCCGGUCGUAGUGCCGUAAGCCGUACCCACUACAGUCUCGUCACCUUACCACACAUAUAAAUACCCAGCGUCCCGAUCGACUACAGUAUGUG